rnacentral:rRNA from 1 species
UACGUAGGGGGCAAGCGUUGUCCGGAUUUAUUGGGCGUAAAGCGCACGUAGGCGGCUUUGCAAGUCCCAUGUGAAAGCCCACGGCUUAACCGUGGAAGUGCAUGGGAAACUGCAGAGCUUGAGUACUUAAGAGGAUCGCGGAAUUCCCGGUGUAGAGGUGAAAUUCGUAGAUAUCGGGAAGGAACACCAGUGGCGAAGGCGAGUCCCUGGACAACUUCUGGACGCUGAGGCACGAAAGCUAGGGGAGCAAACAGG